UUACGGCCAUAUCACGUUGAAUCAUCGGUUCUCGUAUGAUCAGCGAAGUUAAGCAACAUCGAUCCCGGUCACUACCUAGAUGGGUGACCAAUUGGGAAAAUCAAGUGCUGUCA